rfam:Brassica rapa chromosome A8, whole genome shotgun sequence.
AGAAUGAAGUUGAGCCAAGGAUGACUUGCCGAUUUUUUCCAACGAAUCUAUACUGAUUUUGGUGUUUGGCAAGUUGACUUUGGCUCUGUUUCCUUCUCU